GAUGAAUGCUGGCGGCAUGCCUAAUACAUGCAAGUCGAGCGGUAACAGGACUAGCUUGCUAGUUGCUGACGAGCGGCGGACGGCUGAGUAACGCGUGGGAACGGACCCCAAAGUGAGGGAUAACCACUCGAAAGAGUGGCUAAUACCGCAUGUGAUCUUCGGAUUAAAGGAUUUAUCCGCUUUGGGACUGGCCUGCGUACGAUUAGAUUGUUGGUGAGGUAAUGGCUCACCAAGUCGACGAUCGUUAGAUGGUCUGAGAGGAUGACCAGCCACACUGGAACUGAGACACGGUCCAG
rnacentral:rRNA from 1 species